rnacentral:sRNA from 1 species
GCCAGGCGUGGUGGCACACUCCUGUAAUCCCAGUGACUCGGGAGGCUGAGGCAGGAGGAACAUGAGUUCCAAGCCAGCCACAGCAAAAGUGAGGCACUAAGCAACUCAGGAGACCCUGUCUCUA